CUGUAGAAAAAUGAAUAAAAAAUGACAGAAGGGGAUUCGAUCACUUUGUCAAUGUAUGUGUGAGCAUCACUUCUGCUUUGUUGACGACAGGAAUGGCUUCAAAAUUAAAUCAACGAUAAACUCUAAAUAAAAAGCAGUUUUACGAUAGAAAAAUUGAUUGUUCGUGAAUCGACACAACAAAAGUGUUCAUUGCUAACGCGCACCGGCACUCGGCAACUGGCCGCGAUAUUACAUAUAGCACGGUAAAAUAAGGUGUUAUAUUCUGAAUAGGCUUGUGACAAGAGCUUCUAUAUAGUCAAAGUUGACAACAAGAGUGUUUUUAGUAUCUACGAUAUUCUUGUGUGGAACCAAUAUGACUGGCCGAUCAUGUUCAGCUGCAUUUUGCAAAAAUAAUCGAGCUAAUGUAAAAAAACGGGGAGUUUACGUUACGUUUCAUAAAUUUCCACGUAUCCCUGAUGUGCAGAAGGAAUGGGUGAGAUUUUGUCAAAGAGGAGAAAACUGGGAACCCAAAAACUACAGUGCUUUGUGCUCCGAUCACUUCAGAAAUGAAGAUUUUCAAUUACAAAAUGCACCAAUAGCCAACAACUCCGGUACAUUUCGGCAGCUUAAUCCAAAAGCAAUACCAACAAUAGAAAAAAACAGCAACAUUUUAAGUACUGCCGCAAAACAAAAUCAAACAAUAGACUUCAUUACGCAUAGGGCUGAAGUAUUGUACGAAGGACAAGUACUACCAUGCGAACUAUUACAGGAGGAAAUAUGUGAACCGGAUCUGCAUGUUUCCGGCGAGCAGCUUGCAUCGAAUUUAGAACUAGAACGGCUAAGAAACGAAAAUGAAAAUUUAAAAAAUGUAAAUAGUAAUUUAAGAAAUAAGUUGAACGAGCUGAACAACCAAAAUAAUCAAUGUAGGGCAGAAAUCGCAGCUUUAAAAGCGGAAA